rnacentral:rRNA from 1 species
AACGCGAAGAACCUUACCUGGGCUCGAACGGCUUACGACCGGGGUGGAAACACCCUCUCCCCUUAAAAGGCGUGAGUCGAGGUGCUGCAUGGCUGUCGUCAGCUCGUGUCGUGAGAUGUUGGGUUAAGUCCCGCAACGAGCGCAACCCUUGUCCUGUGUUGGCAUGCCGCAAGGCGCAACUCGCAGGAGACCGCCAGCGAUAAGCUGGAGGAAGGUGGGGAUGACGUCAAGUCAUCAUGGCCUUUAUGUCCAGGGCCACACACGUGCUACAAUGGGCGGUACAAAGCGCUGCCAACCCGCGAGGGGGAGCUAAUCGCCAAAAACCGUCCUCAGUUCGGAUCGCAGGCUGCAACUCGCCUGCGUGAAGCUGGAAUCGCUAGUAAUGCUAUAUCAGAACGAUAGCGUGAAUACGUUCCCGGGCCUUGUACACACCGCGAGC